rnacentral:misc_RNA from 1 species
AGGUUUGCUUAAGUCUUAUAUAUAACACAGAUACCUUAUCUCAAACUAAUGUGUGACAUCAGCAAAGGAAACGAGCAUACUCUUGCUGUGUGAAGCGACAGUCGUGAUCAUGAGGAAAUGCUUUUUUGUUCUUGGAAUUGUACCUAUUUACAAGAUUUGGCAGUACAAAACCGAGAUUAAGGGUUUUGUCUAUAUUUUUCUCGAGGCACCAUGAAAAUUGUAUAAAAGAUCAUAUAGUUUGUUGGCAAUUUUGUUGGAAAG